AGUGGGGAAUCUUAGACAAUGGGCGCAAGCCUGAUCUAGCCAUGCCGCGUGAGUGACGAAGGCCCUAGGGUCGUAAAGCUCUUUCGCCUGUGAUGAUAAUGACAGUAGCAGGUAAAGAAACCCCGGCUAACUCCGUGCCAGCAGCCGCGGUAAUACGGAGGGGGUUAGCGUUGUUCGGAAUUACUGGGCGUAAAGCGCACGUAGGCGGAUCAGAAAGUUGGGGGUGAAAUCCCGGGGCUCAACCCCGGAACUGCCUCCAAAACUUCUGGUCUGGAGUUCGAGAGAGGUGAGUGGAAUUCCGAGUGUAGAGGUGAAAUUCGUAGAUAUUCGGAGGAACACCAGUGGCGAAGGCGGCUCACUGGCUCGAUACUGACGCUGAGGUGCGAAAGUGUGGGGAGCAAACAGGAUUAGAUACCCUGGUAGUCCACACCGUAAACGAUGAAUGCCAGCCGUCGGCGCGCAUGCGUGUCGGUGACACACCUAACGGAUUAAGCAUUCCGCCUGGGGAGUACGGUCGCAAGAUUA
rnacentral:rRNA from 1 species